rnacentral:rRNA from 1 species
UCUGGGAAACUGCCUGAUGGAGGGGGAUAACUACUGGAAACGGUAGCUAAUACCGCAUAACGUCGCAAGACCAAAGAGGGGGACCUUCGGGCCUCUUGCCAUCGGAUGUGCCCAGAUGGGAUUAGCUUGUUGGUGGGGUAACGGCUCACCAAGGCGACGAUCCCUAGCUGGUCUGAGAGGAUGACCAGCCACACUGGAACUGAGACACGGUCC